GUUAGUGUGCAACUAAACAUGGGUAGUGGUACAAACAUGGUACAGCUCCUCAGACUAUUAGUUGUUCUGCUGUGGACUACAAGUCUAACUGAUGGCAGCGAUGUCAACCAGACUGACAUCCUGUGGAAAACACAGGGAGACAAUGCAACCAUGAGCUGCAGACACACAAAGGAUGCUAGCCACUUCCAGAUGUACUGGUACAGACAGCUGCCAGGAGAAACUAUGGAGCUAAUCGUGUUCACAAGAUCUGGGGUCAAUAAUCAUGAUUUUGGAGAAUUCGGUAGCAAAGACAAGUUCUCAGCCACAAAGCCUGACGCUGAGAGCGGGACGUUCACAGUGAAGGAUCUGCAGCCAGGAGACAAAGGCUUGUACUUCUGUGCUGUGAGUCAACACAGUGACACACACACAGGAGGAGGCUGAACAAAAACCCUCACUGCUGCUACACCUCUCCAUCCUGCAGCUCAGACUGUAGGGGGGGCUGGAGGACAGCAAACACUCAGCUACACUCUGACUACCCCACACAUCUUUUAUGUCGCCUGUAACUCUCUCUGUUUUUACACUAUCAGUGGUGUCUUCUGACUUUCUGAACAAGGUCUCGCUCUACUCAAAGUACUAAACUAAAUUUGAACACAGUGUCACGGCUUCCCUCCUCUAUAGGCCACUUUAGACGCCUUUUAAAAACAGACAUUUUGAACGCGUUAUCUUUCAAGUUAUUAGUUUCCACUCUUGUUUGUGAUGACCUGGGAUGUGUGUGUGGCUGGCUUGAUGUUAUACGGCUCGUGUGGUGAAUAUCAAUUCAUAAAAACUGUAUCUACAAGAAUUCAACAAAGAAAAUAGGUCUUUACAAGAUUUAAAAACAUUGCAAAUUCUGAGGUUUUCUUUUAUGUUCAGUACAAAACUCAACUGAAUGCAAUACAAAUUA